rnacentral:rRNA from 1 species
GACAGAGGUGCCGAGCGUUAGGCGGAAUCACUGGGCUUAAAGCGUGUGUAGGCGGGCGGGCAAGUACCUUGUGAAAUCCCACGGCUCAACCGUGGAACGGCUGGGUAUACUGCCUGUCUUGAGCCAACUAGGGGCGAGCGGAACAGACGAUGGAGCGGUGAAAUGCGUAGAUAUCGUCUGGAACGCCGAAGGUGAAAACAGCUCGCUGGGGUUGUGCUGACGCUGAGACACGAAAGCCAGGGGAGCGAACGGG